AUGUGGAGGCUGAAGGUGUCGGAGGGUGGCGGGCCGUGGUUGCGGUCGGUGAACAACUUCCUUGGCAGGGCAGUGUGGGAGUUCGACCCCGACCACGGCACGCCGGAGGAGCGCGCCGAGGUUGAUAGAGUCCGCCGGGAGUUCACCCAGCGCCGCUUCCAGAAGAGGGAGUCACAUGAUCUUCUUAUGCGCAUGCAGUAUGCAAAAGAAAAGCAUCUUCAGGUUCAGGUGGAUCAUCCGGCCAUCAAGCUUGUAGAUAUUGCACAAGUCACACAAGAGACCAUAUUAACAUCAUUGAGGCGAGCCCUUAGUCAACACUCUGCUCUGCAAGCACACGAUGGGCAUUGGCCUGGCGAUUACAGCGGAAUUAUGUUCAUUAUGCCCAUCUUGAUAUUUGCUCUACAUGUUACUAGAACACUCAAUACCGUCCUUUCAAGAGAACAUCGGCGUGAGAUUUGUCGCUAUAUUUACAACCAUCAGAAUAAAGAUGGUGGUUGGGGCACACAAGUGUUGGGGCCAAGCACCAUGUUUGGAUCAUGCUUAAACUAUGUUACCCUGAGGCUUCUUGAUGAGGUGGACAAUGAAGCCUUGAUCAAGGGGCGUGCUUGGAUUCUAUUGCAUGGAAGUGCAGCUGCAAUACCACAAUGGGGAAAGAUAUGGCUCUCUGUGGUCGGUUUGUAUGAAUGGUCUGGAAAUAAUUUGAUCAUUCCUGAACUAUGGCUUGUCCCACAUUUUCUUCCAAUUCAUCCAGGACGAUUUUGGUGCUUUUGCCGGUUGAUUUAUAUGCCAAUGUCUUAUCUGUAUGGUAAAAAGUUUGUUGGCCCAAUUACACCAACAAUAUUGGCAAUACGAGAGGAGCUCUAUAGCAUACCAUACCGUGAGGUCGAUUGGAAUAAAGCACGUGAUACUUGUGCCAAGGCACUAAAUAUGAUUUGUUGUUGGAUUGAUGAUCCAAAGUCAGAUGCAUUGAAGUUUCAUAUUCCAAGGAUCUAUGAUUAUUUAUGGCUGGCAGAAGAUGGCAUGAAAGCACAGGUAUACGAUGGUUGUCAAAGUUGGGAGACAGCUUUUAUUAUCCAAGCAUAUUGCUCAACAGACCUUAUUAAUGAGUUUGGCCCAAUACUUCGAAAAGCCCAUGAAUUCAUUAAAAAUUCACAGGUUCUUGAGAACCAUCCUGACAGCAAAACUUAUUACCGCCAUAGAUCGAAAGGUUCAUGGACACUUUCAACAGCAGAUAAUGGUUGGUCUGUAUCAGAUUGUACUGCAGAAGCACUUAAGGCAUUAGUAUUGUUAUCCAAGAUCUCUCCUAAUCUUGUGGGGGAACCAAUAAAAGGAGAAGGGUUGUAUGAUGCAGUGGAUUGCUUACUUUCUUUCAUGAACAAAGAUGGUACCUUUUCUACAUACGAGUGUAAGAGAACUACUUCAUUGAUUGAGGUUCUCAACCCUUCUGAGACUUUUCUGAAUAUUAUGGUUGACUAUCCAUCCGUCGAAUGCACAUCAUCGAUGCUUCAAGCCUUGAUUAUGUUUAGAGAAAUUUACCCGGGGUACCGCAAAGAAGAGAUAGGACAAUGCAUAAAAAAUGCUUCUGUGUUUAUUGAGAAUAGUCAACGAAAGGAUGGCUCAUGGUAUGGCACUUGGGGUAUAUGUUUCACUUAUGGAACAUUAUUUGCUGUACAAGGAUUAAUAGCUUCUGGAAGAACUUACGAAAAUAGUUCCUUCAUACGCAAUGCAUGCAACUUUCUGUUGUCAAAGCAGCUAAAUACAGGUGGAUGGGGAGAGACUUAUCUUUCUAGUGAAACUGAGUCUUACGUGGAUGCCGCUAGUCCUCAUGCAGUCAACACUGCUUGGGCAAUGUUAGCUUUAAUUUAUGCUGGGCAGGUUGAACGAGAUCCCGCACCACUAUAUCAUGCUGCAAAAGAAUUGAUCAAUAUGCAACUAGACACAGGCGAGUUUCCGCAGCAAGAACACAUUGGAUGCUUCAACUGCUCCUUUUACUACAAUUACGGCAACUACAGCAAUUUAUUCCCCAUCUGGGCUCUUGGGGAGUUCCGUCGUCGACUGCAUGAGAAGAACUGA
rnacentral:rRNA from 1 species